GCUAAGCACACCAGUGUCUAGGGGCUGUAGGAGCCUGGAAAGCAAGGAUCCAGUGUAAACAUAACUUCCAAGCUGAUCAUUUCUCUAUUGCUCUCUUGGCAGUUUCAUGCUUUCUGUAACACCGUGUAAAGUGUGAAGCUCAUUCAUGAAGAGACCUCUCUUUGCUUGGACCUGCAGCAAAAGUGGGUGCAGAAGCUUGUACAGAUAGUUUUGAGGAGUCUUCCAGGCCACCGGAGUCCACGACACCAGCAGAGCCACUGGCUGGAAAUACUGGGAAAUUAACCCCCUUGGAAGCAUCUUUUAACUAACGAUUCACUGGGGCAGUGCAUAAACAUCCCAGCUCCCUGGCCCUCAGUAUCCUUGAAGUCUUAAGAUGGAGCCUCAGAAAUUUCCUUCCAGUCAGUGAAAAAUUCUUUCCAGGAGGGAGAGGUGGUCAGAAGUGUGGACAGCCCAAGAUUGCUUGGAAGAGGGCAGCCUGGAGUUUAGUAAGAUGGAGGAGGAGGGCCCUGCUGUGGUGAGAAUCCUCAACACUGAGUGACAUAAAGAAUGUUAGCAGGAAGUGACAAUUCCUACUGGGAGUACAAGCUGGAAACCGAUCCUCACUUCACAGUGUCACAUCCUUUCCAUGGGUCACCAUUAAGUGUUAGUUAGGGUUAUUACUAUUUGAUCUUGUAGGGGAGGAAAAAUAAUUUUUCCUUUACCUUUCUAGCUUCUUGAUUGAGAUCCCCCCUGUAAUAAAAGACAGAUUAACAGGAGAAAAACAAACAGAAGUUUAAUAGCAUGUAUACUUUCUGUAUACAUGGGAGUACCCAGAAACACUGAGUAACUCCAAAAAAAUGGCCCAAGUCACCACUUUAAAUUCCAUCUCCCACUAAAGGCAAAAGGAGAUGUUGUGGGGAGAGAAGCCAGUUAUGGGGUUUACCAAGCAGAGCACAGUAAUUGAGGGUAUGGUUGCAGUGCAGAUUUAAGUCUCUGCCUUCUCCGUUGAUAAGACUUUGUGGAGAUUUAGUCAUCCCCCUCUUCCUAGUAUGGCAAGGGAGACAUCCUUACAAAUGGAGAUUUC